rnacentral:rRNA from 1 species
AGCGAACGCUGGCGGCGUGCCUAAUACAUGCAAGUCGAACGCGAAAGUCCUUCGGGAUGAGUAAAGUGGCGCACGGGUGAGUAAUACAUGGGAACAUGCCCUUGGAUGGGGAAUAACGUUUGGAAACGAACGCUAAUACCGCAUAAUCUCGCGAGAGUAAAGGUGGCGCCGCAAGGGCUACCGUCCAAGGAUUUGCCCAUGUCCCAUUAGCUAGUUGGCGGGGUAAUGGCCCACCAAGGCAACGAUGGGUAUGUGGUCUGAGAGGAUGAUCACACACACUGGAACUGAGACACGGUCCAGACUCCUACGGGAGGCAGCAGUAGGGAAUAUUGCACAAUGGGGGAAACCCUGAUGCAGCAACGCCGCGUGAGUGAAGAAGGCCCUUGGGUUGUAAAGCUCUUUAGCGAGGGAAGAAGGUAGAUACGGUGAAUAAUCGUGUUUGCUGACGGUACCUCGAGAAUAAGCACCGGCUAAUUUCGUGCCAGCCGCCGCAGUAAUAC